rnacentral:rRNA from 1 species
ACGAACGCUGGCGGCAGGCCUAACACCUGCCCGUCGAACGAAGUCUUCGGACUUAGUGGCGCACGGGUGAGUAACACGUGGGAAUAUACCUUACGCUGGGGGAUAACAUCGGGAAACUGAUGCUAAUACCGCAUACGCCCUUCGGGGGAAAGAUUUAUCGGCGAAAGAUUAGCCCGCGUCCGAUUAGCUAGUUGGUGAGGUAAUGGCUCACCAAGGCUCCGAUCGGUAGCUGGUCUGAGAGGAUGACCAGCCACACUGGGACUGAGACACGGCCCAGACUCCUACGGGAGGCAGCAGUGGGGAAUAUUGGACAAUGGGCGCAAGCCUGAUCCAGCCAUGCCGCGUGAGUGAUGAAGGCCUUAGGGUUGUAAAGCUCUUUCACCCACGACGAUGAUGACGGUAGUGGGAGAAGAAGCCCCGGCUAACUUCGUG